AUCUCUGCCACAACUGCUACUAGAACUUGUGAUUUCCACCAAGAUUUCAAAAAUAGGAAUAGAAAAUUAGUAAAGUUCUCUGAAGAUGUUCAUAAACAGAACAUUCUGUGCACGUGUAAUGUCAUAAGUAACUAAUUGAGUCCUGGUAGAGGUAAGUAGGCAAAUGCAUUUUCUUCUUUGAAAAUUACAUAAAACCAAGUAUACAAAGUACAGCUUAAAACUAAGGAUCCCUAUGAAUAGUAUCUGAGUUGGGUUCUUACCCUUUUAAAACUCAGAGGAGUAGAUUUUCAGGCAUGUCAUCCUGUGUCCUACUUUUACAGUAGAACAGGAAGUAGACUAACAGAGAGGAACUCUAUGGGGCCCAUGAGCUGGCAAAUAAACAAAUAAGAUGAUUCUAUGUCUAGGAAUGGUAUUCAUACUCCAAAGUCCUUGGUCCAUCCAGGAUAUCUUGUGUCUGUAAUGUCAAAACUAAUAAGAGAAAGGAAUGAAGACAAAGUCCAGAAGUCUGACAGCUGCUUAUUUCCUAUUGGAAGCCAUGAUAACUCAUGCCUGUGUGAUUAAAACAAAUGGUUGAGACAUCUCAAUGAUAUCUUAUUGAUAAGACAGCAGUGGCCAAAUAUUGAUACCAGAACACAAUGAAAUAGUCCUAUAAACCAGCCAUGCCAAGAUGUCAAAAUUAUUGAUUUAAUCCCAUAUAUUUUCCCGUUUGUCAACACUCAAUAUUGGAUACCCAGCCAAAUGUCUUUUUGGUUAUCUUUAAAACUCAAACGCUUUAUACUUCCUUGAGUGUUUGUUCCAUAAUCUCACAUGUUUUUACUUAGAUUUUCCUGAUAGAGUGCCUAUUUUUUAAAGUCUUAGCUUUAUCCAAUAUUCAUACUUAUUUUAUCUUUUUCCAUCACAUUGCAGUAACUCUCCAUUAGUGUUGUAAUCUUUGCUUCUGCAUUGUUGCUUUUCCUACCACAGAUGUAUAUUAAGACAUUACUAAAUUCAGAAAUUAACUCUGAGAUCCUGUUGUAAAUGUACCCAUCUUGCUGCUUUUGACCCCAUGCAUAUCUUUUGGCUAAGAGUAAGAGAGAAAGAAGAAAACCAAUGCUCUUAUUCAUUCCAGAAUAAACAAUAUUUAUAAUCCCAGACCUGUGGGAAGCAUUUCCAGGAAAUAUGGAUCAUCACAUUGGCUCUCGUUACCAGAACUGUGCAAGGCUCCCAUUGGCUGAACACAACUGGAUUUCAGAAGACUUAAUGGAGCCUAUACAGGAAUGACCUGCCUUGUUGUAAGAGGUUUGGGGAGAGAGCCAUGUGGCAAGCAACUGCCAGCAGCCUCUUGGAACUCCUGGCUAACAGUCAGCAAAAAGCCAGAAACCUCAGUUUACAACCACAAAAUGAUGAAUCCUGCCAACAACCUGAGUCGGUCUUGCAGUGGAUCCAUCCCCAGUCAAGCUUUCCGAUGAGAAUCCAGCUCCGGCCAAGAGCUUUUGCUGUUGUUCUUGUAAUUAAUUGUGAGUUUUUUUCAGUUU